rfam:Thermoactinomyces sp. Gus2-1 c17, whole genome shotgun sequence.
GGAACCUUUAAAUCCAGUCCAGUGAGGCUGGCAAGGGCACGGAAAUGUAAAAAAGGGUUGGUAUGCCCUUUUUCAGGAGGUCUUUGUCUGCCGUCUGGCAAGACAAAGACUUUUUUGU